rnacentral:rRNA from 1 species
UACGUAGGGUGCGAGCGUUGUCCGGAAUUACUGGGCGUAAAGAGCUUGUAGGUGGUUUGUCGCGUUGUUCGUGAAAUCUCACGGCUUAACUGUGAGCGUGCGGGCGAUACGGGCAGACUAGAGUACUGCAGGGGAGACUGGAAUUCCUGGUGUAGCGGUGAAAUGCGUAGAUAUUGGGAAGAACACCGGAGGCGAAGGCGGGUUGCUGGGCCGACACUGACGCUGAGGCGCGAAAGCCAGGGGAGCGAACGGG